GUGGGUUCGCGGUAAUUCUUCGUGUUCCCCGUCUCUUUUCUAUUUUCAAGUAGGAGGUAAACCGGGUGCCGUGGCAAAACGCACGCCGUGAGCAUCUCCCACGCCGAGAUGCUCCCUUCUUCGCCUUAUUGUCCUCUCUGUCUUCUUCCUCUUUUUUAGUAGAAGCUAAGCUUAGGGCUUCGCUUCUCUUUCUACACUUGGCCAUGGCAUCGGCUUCUUGUCCUUCUACUGGCAUUCCUGCGACCUACUUUGGCGCUACUAAGCGUGAGCUCCUCCGAUGCUCCUCGAAGCGCUGGCGGAAGCAGGCGGUGAGAUGGAAUCUGCCUCUGCUGCGGCCGAUGACGGUCCGUGCGUCUCUCGACGCCAAGGUGUCUGAUAUGGGUGUCAAGGCUCCAAAAGGGUUGUUUCCACCGGAACCUGAGCACUACAGGGGGCCAAAGCUUAAAAUAGCUAUUAUUGGAGCUGGGCUUGCUGGCAUGUCAACGGCAGUUGAGCUUUUGGAUCAGGGGCAUGAGGUUGAGAUAUAUGAAUCCCGAACUUUCAUUGGUGGCAAAGUGGGUUCUUUUGUGGACAAACGUGGAAACCAUAUUGAGAUGGGGCUUCAUGUUUUCUUUGGUUGCUAUAGCAAUCUUUUUCGACUUAUGAAAAAGGUUGGUGCUGAUGAAAAUUUAUUGGUGAAGGACCACACUCACAUGUUUGUAAAUAAAGGGGGUGAAAUUGGUGAACUUGAUUUUCGAUUUCCAUUGGGGGCACCAAUACAUGGUAUACGAGCAUUUCUAGCGACCAAUCAACUCAAGCCUUAUGAUAAAGCAAGGAAUGCUGUAGCUCUUGCCUUAAGCCCAGUUGUUCGGGCACUUGUGGAUCCAGAUGGUGCAAUGCAGGACAUACGGAACUUAGAUAAUAUUAGCUUCACUGAUUGGUUCUUGUCCAAAGGCGGAACCCGCAUGAGCAUCCAAAGGAUGUGGGAUCCUGUUGCUUAUGCCCUCGGAUUUAUUGACUGUGAUAAUAUCAGCGCGCGUUGUAUGCUCACCAUAUUUUCUCUAUUUGCCACUAAGACGGAGGCUUCUCUUUUGCGUAUGCUGAAGGGUUCUCCUGAUGUUUACUUAAGUGGUCCUAUCAGAAAGUACAUUGAAGACAAAGGUGGACGGUUUCACUUAAGAUGGGGCUGCAGAGAGAUACUUUAUGAGAAAUCCCAGGAUGGAGGCACAUAUGUCACGGGAAUUGCGGUAUCUAAGUCCACAAAUAAAAAAAUUGUGAAAGCUGAUGCUUAUGUUGCAGCAUGUGACGUCCCUGGAAUUAAGAGACUGAUACCAUCUCUGUGGAGGGAAUGGGAUCUAUUUGACGAUUUGUAUAAACUAGUUGGAGUUCCAGUUGUCACUGUUCAACUUAGGUACAAUGGCUGGGUUACAGAGCUACAAGAUCUGGAGAGAUCAAGGCAACUGAAACGAGCUGCAGGAUUGGAUAAUCUUCUUUAUACCCCAGAUGCAGACUUUUCCUGUUUUGCAGACCUUGCAUUCACAUCACCAGAAGAUUAUUACAUAGGAGGGCAGGGCUCCCUAAUUCAGGCUGUACUUACGCCUGGUGAUCCAUACAUGCCUUUGCCAAAUGAUGCUAUCAUAAGCAGAGUGCAGAAGCAGUGCAUCCUGGAGGCUGGAAUUGGUUAUGUAUGUCCAUGGACAGGCAACAAAGCUUAAUGUCCUACCCAGUACCCAGUCAGUCAUCUUGAGCCUGGCCUAGUGCCAUUAAUUUGGCCAUUCUCAAAAGGGUCUUGGAAUUGUUCCCCUCUUCUCAAGGUUUGGAAGUUCUAUGGUCUUCGGUGGUGAAAAUUGGGCAAUCCCUAUAUCGGGAGGCACCAGGAAAUGAUCCAUUUAGACCUGAUCAAAAGACGCCAGUGGAAAAUUUCUUUCUUGCUGGUUCCUACACUAAGCAGGACUAUAUCGACAGUAUGGAAGGGGCAACUCUUUCUGGCAGACAAGCAGCCGCCUAUAUCUGCAGUGCCGGAGAGCGCCUGUCAGCACUCCGGAAGAAGCUUGCAUCCAGUGAAUUCGAAGGCACCCUGAGAGAUUCAAACACAGCAGAUGAACUAAGUUUUAUUUGAUAGAUAAAUUUGUUGAUUCCCGAUGUGGAACGGCACAUCGAUAUGAUGACUAAUUUUGAUGGGUUCAGACGGGGAACAAUGCAUCAACAGGUUCCAUCUCCAUGAGCUCAGUUGAUGGUCUGCUGUCUUUCCCAUGUCGUUCAUGUUUCAAACGUUGUACGUAAAUUAGGAACUGAUUUACACAUGGCAUACGGGAUAAAUUCAGGCAAACAUCAAUUACAGAGUAUUAAUAGAAUUAUCACGUCGUAGUCAUCCAUUUUCGUGCCA